UACGUAGGUGGCAAGCGUUGUCCGGAUUUACUGGGUGUAAAGGGUGCGCAGGCGGGAACGCAAGUUGGAUGUGAAAUGUCGGGGCUCAACCCCGGAACUGCAUCCAAAACUGUGAUUCUUGAGUGAAGUAGAGGUAAGCGGAAUUCCGAGUGUAGCGGUGAAAUGCGUAGAUAUUCGGAGGAACACCAGUGGCGAAGGCGGCUUACUGGGCUUUAACUGACGCUGAGGCACGAAAGUGUGGGUAGCAAACAGG
rnacentral:rRNA from 1 species